rnacentral:rRNA from 1 species
GACAGAGGGUGCGAACGUUGUUCGGAAUUACUGGGCGUAAAGCGCAUGUAGGCGGCAGCGCAAGUCGGGCGUGAAAUCCCACGGCUCAACCGUGGAAGUGCACUCGAAACUGCGCAGCUAGAGUCCUGGAGAGGAAGGUGGAAUGCUUGGUGUAGAGGUGAAAUUCGUAGAUAUUGGGAAGAACACCGGUGGCGAAGGCGGCGACCUGGUCCUUGACUGACGCUGAGGCGCGAAAGCGUGGGGAGCAAACAGG